ensembl:lncRNA
ACCCCUCUCUAAGCCUCAUUUAAGUGCUGGCUGCCACGGGGGAAGGCUCUGUACCUUUUGGAGUGUUCUGUGAGUCCCGCUCCUUGGGACAGAGGUAUAGUCUGUGUGACUGGUCUGAGAUGGGCAAAUCAAGCUAUCCAUAGUACUGCUGGUCUGGAGGAGAAUUCAGAGCCGCUGCUGGGGACAAACUCUUGCAGCACGUGGAGGCAAUGUUUGUGGCAGGUAAUGAUGGAGCAGCUUGAACACUGAGGAGCAUGAAGACAGCAGCCUGCCUUCAGCAAGUGAUUGCUGCCCAGUCACAAAACCAGAGGUCACUGGAGGGAUGCCCAGAGUAAAAGACCUCCGAAUCUGCUCUCAACCAAGGGGAAGUGAAUUGGUCUCCUUGUUCCUGUGGCAGCCAUGGACCCCUAUGAUUGGGUGGUCCUCUAGAGGCACUGACACUGAGCCUGAAGGGAAGCUCCCAUCUCUGAUCCAUGAGUGCCUCCAGCCUGGCAGGACCUGGCUCUUCUGGUAGGUGGCUUUAUGGUAUUCUUAUUAAGUUACUAGACGAAAUGUGUUGCAUUACUAUGUUUCAAGUUCAUUUUUCUACACAGAAUCCCACCAAAAGUAGGAGUGGAGGGCAAGAAAGCCCACUAAAGUACUGAUAUGGUCUGGUAUAGACAAGAAACACCAUAAUUUCAUAGGCAUCGCUGGUGCAAUGCUAAUAGAGUAAGAGUAGAUCCCAAUAAUUAGAAAAUCUUCUCUUGUUGGAUAUUUUGUGAAAGUGCUUCUGUGGCUGUAGUUUGGUGGUUGUCACAGCACAUCUCAAUAAGUUUGUUCAGUCUUUAAGGGUAAAGCCAUCACCACUGAAUAAUCCCCUCCUUUAGGCACAAGGCUUCGUGAAAAAUAUGAUUCCUAGUGAUGCCUCCUAAGACAUGUAAUUAAAGUGGUGAUCUCUCAGUGUCCACUUUGCCAGACAAUGUCAAUUUUGUAACAGUUAUGAUACCUUAUGACUCUGCUAUGAGUCAUUUGGAACAGGCCUUUAUUAGAAGACCCUCAAAAAGUUUUAGUUCUGACUAUGAUGCAGAUUAGCAGCAGUUCUUAGAAGCACUGGGAGCCUGGGACUGAGGGCACACUUCUGGGAGUCCUCUUUCCACGUGAAACAACUCUGAAAAUAAUGAAUGAGGGAAGAGAGAAGAAGAGAAGCCAGAGAUGAGCAGAGCAGCUUUGGGUGUACUUCAAACUCUUGUUAUUCAUGUUUUCUCUCACUUUGGAGAUUGUUUACCCUGAGAAUUCAGUGCUGUUACCAGCUUCUUUUAUCAGGACUUCAGCAAUACAGGCUGCUGGAAGAGCCAUUAAACCCAAGUUGUUAUUCUCCUUGCCUUUCAGCACAAAGUGCUGCCCGUAGCAAUGGCAAUAAUCCAGAAGAAUUGUACUCUUAAAGGGAAAGCAGGAAAGUCUCAGGAUAACAUGUGAGACUGGGUGGGUGGGCCCUGUGCUACUGAUGGGUGGCACUGGGGACUGUGCAUGUUCUGCAAGCAUCACUGAGAAAAGUGCUUGAGGAGUUGGGAUCCAUAAGAGAGCAGGACUGAGCACUUAUUGUCUUGAGCGUGGAUUCUGUAGUGGAGACAUCCAUAGCUCCAGAACACAAACUCAAAGCAAUGUCAGCUCGCUUUUUCAAAGAGAAGUGUGCUUCUAACCGAAUUAUACCGUGUCUUUCUUUCUGUCCAUUCCCAAGAUUAGUUCAUGUCAGGUUCUGGCAGCUCUGAUUGCUGCAUCAUCUCUGUGCUGUGAUUCAUUGCUCAGUGUGAGUCACAGAGCCUUGUAAGGAGAGGGAGCAUGCAAGCUGACUUCUGUGCAUCCAAAUGGCAGACAAAUGUUUGAAUUACAGAUCACAAUUAACUGCUAAUUGGCCAUAAUGUAAGCCCCUUCCAAAUGGACGUUGUAAAUAUUGAAAUAAACAGCUUGUUAUUUU